GUCGGGAAAGAGAAUUGAAGCCAAAUUAUUUGAAGAAGUUUCGCAGUGUUGCAAGAAAGAGUGUUACACAAAUCAGCAACAGAAAGAUUGUUUUUGUCGUUUUGGGAAUCUGGAGAUUAUCAUGUGCAAAAUGCUGAAAUGCAACUUUAAGUAGAAUGAUGACGCUGAAAGCUCGUAUUGAAAAGAUGAAGAAAUAAAUGGUAGUUUUUUUUAGAACUAACAGAAGAAGAUCUAAUCUGUUUGAAAAUUAAAAUGGGACCAAGGAAAAUAAUUUUAAAAUUAAUUAGAGAAAAUCAAAAACUACAAAUCGUUUUGUAGUUUAAAACUACGGAAGUCUGAUCCAUCAAAACCUAGGCUCGAAUAAUUUUACAAGAAACACGGAAACAGUUAACGAUACAACUGGUCCAUCAACUUCACCAUCUGAUACUAUUAAUGUUACUACACCAGUUUUUAAUUUACGCGUUAUGCGUCAGUUGAAGAGACUCUUCUUAAUCAUCCACAAGGUGAAUUAUUAGUGAAAUCUGCAAAGGAAUCUUUUACCGAAGAAAACAGAAGGGCUUUGAUACGAAUUGUUGUUUCAGAACUGGUUAAAGUUCACAAUGAUAUGUUCCAUGUCGAACGACCAGGACGAGAAAACAACGAACACAUGACAG